rnacentral:rRNA from 1 species
GAUGAACGCUGGCGGCGUGCCUAAUACAUGAAAGUCGCGCGAAACGGGGACGGGUGAGUAACACGUGGAUAACCUCCUAUAAGACUGGGAUAACUUCGGGAAACCGGAGCUAAACCGGAUCCUUAUGGAUGGAUACGCGCUGAAUUAGCUAGUUGGUAAGGGAACGGCUGAACAAGGCAAAGAUGCAUAGACGACUUGAGAGGGUUAUCGGCCACACUGGAACGGAGACACGGUCCAGACUCCUACGGGAGGCAGCAGUAGGGAAUCUUCCGCAAUGGUCGAAAGCCUGACGGAUCAACGCCGCGUGAGUGAUGAAGGUCUUCGGAUCGUAAAACUCUGUUAUUAGGGAAGCGGUACCUAAUCAGAAAGCCACGGCUAACUACGUGCCAGCAGCCGCGGUAAUUC